rnacentral:rRNA from 1 species
CCUACGGGUGGCUGCAGUAGGGAAUCUUCCACAAUGGACGAAAGUCUGAUGGAGCAACGCCGCGUGAGUGAAGAAGGGUUUCGGCUCGUAAAGCUCUGUUGGUAGAGAAGAAAGAUAGAGGUAGUAACUGGCCUUUAUUUGACGGUAAUAACUUGGAAAGUCACGGCUAACUACGUGCCAGCAGCCGCGGUAAUACGUAGGUGGCAAGCGUUGUCCGGAUUUAUUGGGCGUAAGGCUAGUGCAGAUGGUUCAAUAAGUCUGAUGUGAAAGCCUUCGGCUCAACCGGAAAAUUGCAUCAGAAACUGUUGAACUUGAGUACAGAAGAGGAGAGUGGAACUCCAGGUGUAGCGGUGGAAUGCGUAGAUAUAUGGAAGAACACCAGUUGCGAAGGCAGCUCUCUAGUCUGCAACUGACACUGAGGCUCGAAAGUAUGGGUAUCGAACAGGAUUAGAUACCCCUGUAGUC